rnacentral:rRNA from 1 species
GACGUAGGGCGCAAGCGUUGUCCGGAUUUAUUGGGCGUAAAGAGCUCGUAGGCGGCUUGUUACGUCGACUGUGAAAUCCCUGGGCUCAACCUGGGAACUGCGUCCGAUACUGGUGGGCUCGAAUCCGGGAGAGGGGAUGUGGAAUUCCAGGUGUAGCGGUGAAAGUGCGUAGAUAUCUGGAGGAACACCGGUGGCGAAGGCGGCAUCCUGGACCGGUAUUGACGCUGAUGCGCGAAAGCCAGGGGAGCAAACGGGAUUAAGAUGA